rnacentral:rRNA from 1 species
UACGUAGGGCGCAAGCGUUGUCCGGAAUUAUUGGGCGUAAAGAGCUCGUAGGCGGCUUGUCACGUCGGAUGUGAAAGCCCGGGGCUUAACCCCGGGUCUGCAUUCGAUACGGGCAGGCUAGAGUUCGGUAGGGGAGAUCGGAAUUCCUGGUGUAGCGGUGAAAUGCGCAGAUAUCAGGAAGAACACCCGUGGCGAAGGCGGCUCUCUGGAACGCAACUGACGCUGAGACGCGAAAGCGUGGGGAGCAAACAGG